ACGUGGGUAGUUUGCGUCUCCCUCCGCCACCCCGACAGGGGCUCGAGCCGGUGCAGCGGGUGAACUGAGCGAAGACCAUCUGGUAGAGGAAGUGGGACAUAGUCCAGUUCGUUGUCAGACAGAAACAAGUAAGCAAGCUUGUUGUGACUCACGUCAAUGCUGACCAUAGUAUUGGGGAGUUCUGGGACCUGCGCAAUCUCAUUCGAAGCUACGGGGUAGUAGCUGCGGGAAAUGUGGAGGGCAAAUAUGAAGGAAAGCAUGAUCAAAGAGGGACAAAUACGAGGAAUGCUAUCUGUGCGACAUCUGUACAUUCAUUUUUCGGUCAUUUUUUACCGCUCA